rnacentral:rRNA from 1 species
GACAGAGGGUGCAAACGUUGUUCGGAAUUACUGGCGUAAAGCGUGUGUAGGCGGCCACGUAAGUCGGAUGUGAAAGCCCCAGGCUCAACCUGGGAAGUGCACUCGAUACUGCGUGGCUUGAGUAUCGGAGAGGUUGGUGGAAUUCUCGGUGUAGAGGUGAAAUUCGUAGAUAUCGAGAGGAACACCGGUGGCGAAGGCGGCCAACUGGACGAAUACUGACGCUGAGACACGAAAGCGUGGGGAGCAAACAGG